GACGAACGCUGGCGGCGUGCUUAACACAUGCAAGUCGAGCGGUAAGGCCCCUUCGGGGGUACACGAGCGGCGAACGGGUGAGUAACACGUGGGUGACCUGCCCUCAGCUCUGGGAUAAGCCUGGGAAACUGGGUCUAAUACCGGAUAUGACUCCAUGACGCAUGUCGUGGGGUGGAAAGCCUUGUGCGGCUGGGGAUGGGCCCGCGGCCUACCAGCUUGUUGGUGGGGUGAUGGCCACCAAGGCGACGACGGGUAGCCGGCCUGAGAGGGCGACCGGCCACACUGGGACUGAGACACGGCCCAGACUCCUACGGGAGGCAGCAGUGGGGAAUCUUGCGCAAUGGGCGAAAGCCUGACGCAGUGACGCCGCGUGA
rnacentral:rRNA from 1 species